CCCAGUCACCCAGAGACAGACAGAACCGGGCUACGGAGGUCCCAUCUCCCCCUGUCACCCAGAGACAGACAGAACCGGGUUAUGGAGGUCCCAUCUCCCCCUGUCACCCAGAGACAGACAGAACCGGGCUACGGAGGUCCGAUCUCCCCCUGUCACCCAGAGACAGACAGAACCGGGCUACGGAGGUCCGAUCUCCCCCUGUCACCCAGAGACAGGCUGAUGCGGGUCGGUAUUGGCUCUCAUUGGUCUCUUUGUAUCUGAUAAAUGUCACCACUACCAGCGGGUUUGUACAUAAUGCAGGGAGCUGGG
ensembl:lncRNA